rnacentral:rRNA from 2 species
AAUGGGGAAACCCAGUGUGACUCGUCACACUAUCAUUAACUGAAUCCAUAGGUUAAUGAGGCGAACCGGGGGAACUGAAACAUCUAAGUACCCCGAGGAAAAGAAAUCAACCGAGAUUCCCCCAGUAGCGGCGAGCGAACGGGGAGGAGCCCAGAGCCUGAAUCAGCAUGUGUGUUAGUGGAAGCGUCUGGAAAGGCGCGCGAUACAGGGUGACAGCCCCGUACACAAAAGCGCAUGUGCUGUGAGCUCGAUGAGUAGGGCGGGACACGUGGUAUCCUGUCUGAAUAUGGGGGGACCAUCCUCCAAGGCUAAAUACUCCUGACUGACCGAUAGUGAACCAGUACCGUGAGGGAAAGGCGAAAAGAACCCCGGCGAGGGGAGUGAAAAAGAACCUGAAACCGUGUACGUACAAGCAGUGGGAGCCCCACCACUAAGCCAGUGGUGAACUCCACAUCCGCAUCCUUUGCUGAGGAUACGGUUAACGGAGCGAAAGCGACGUUCAACCGCAAAACAAGCAGAGGGGGCUUAGUGGUGGGGUGACUGCGUACCUUUUGUA